AUGUCAUUUGGGCUCAACCGCAACCUGUUUCAGCACUAUAUGAGGCAUCCAAAAAAGAUGAGAAGCAGGUUGAUAUACGUUACUGGUGAGAUGGACUUGCAGAAAAAAAGGUGAAUAAUGCGGCACAGAGUCACCCUUUGGUGGCUCACUUACAUCUGAAUCAAGCAUUUACAUUGUGGACACAUUAGGUGCAGAGGUUAUUUUGCCAGGGAAACAAAACAUCUUCGACUGUGUACUGACUACACUAUUGCCUACUUACAUAAGCAGCGCAACGGAUUACCUUUGAAAAACUUGUAACUAAUGGUAAACCGUAUGCUAAUGACAGGAAGUUGUACGCAUAAGCGUCUCAAAUUUUGUUCGGUGCACUAUAAACAACACCAUGAUAGAUUAAUGACAAACUCUUAUUAACAUGAGGAAUGCUUGUAACCGUACCUAAUUGAAUCUAAAUUGUGAUGUUGCGCAACGACUGAAAAGGAAUACCCCUAGUUACUUUAUAUUUGAAAAAGCA